GUGCUCGUUUCAGCAGCACAUAUACUUCAAUUGGAAUGAUAUAGAGAAGAUUAGCAUGGCCCCUGUGCAGGAUGACAUGCAAAUUCAUGAAGCAUUCCAUAUUUUU
ensembl:snRNA U6 U6 spliceosomal RNA